rnacentral:lncRNA from 1 species
UUUGAGCCUAGCCUGGGUACAUGAGUUCUUAUCUCAACAAAAGAACAAAGACAGGCCUGGGGUGUAUCUCUGGUAGAGUGCUUGCUGGCCUGGGGUGUAUCUCUGGUAGAGUGCUUGCUGGCCUGGGGUGUAUCUCUGGUAGAGUGCUUGCUGGCCUGGGGUGUAUCUCUGGUAGAGUGCUUGCUUAGCACACUUAAGGCUUUAGAUUCAAUCUCUGAAACCAACUCCACUCUCUCACAAAACCUAGUGUUUGCUUUGUUUUUGUUUGAAACUAGAGUCUGGUUAUUUAGCUGAGCUUAGCCGUGGAACUGCUAUAUACGUAGCCCAGGCUGGUCACAAACUUGGAAUUGUCCUGCCUCUGCCUCCCAAGUCCCGGGUUAGGUUUAUGCCUGUGUGCCAACAUUGUGCAUUAUUUUUCUGGUUUGAAUUGUUUUGAGCCAGGGUCUUACUUUGUCUUCUGGCUGGCCUUGUAGAACUCAGCAUGUAAGUCAGGUUCCCUGGUCUUCCUACCCUAACCCUGAGUACUGCAUCACAGAUGUGAGUCACAAACACCUGGCUUGUUUUCACAAGACACAAACGUUUGGUUGGUUGAUUGAGAGGCAUAAGCUAAGCUGGCAUUGCU